ACAUUUCUAUGAACAUAUCUGGCUGGACUAAUGUUGGAAUAAUUAUCACUCAGAAGACCUUAUUAAGUAAUUAUGCUUCUUCUGUUUUAAAAGUGGUAAACAUGUUUUUCUUUAUCUUCAGAUUAUUCUUAACUGUGACAAGAAAACUUAACAAUAGGGCAUGACUUAGUAAUUUUUAAGGGAACUGUCCUUAGUCUGUUUUACUCUCAGUGAUCUUGAAGGAAUACUUUUACUUCUCAACUAUAAUCCUUAUUGGUUUUCUACACAAAAUUGGUUAUGAUUACAAGCUAUUUAUUGUUAUGGAACACAUUCUUUGUAAUUUAAUUUAAUACUAAUAAUCUAGUAUGAUGUAGUUAAAAAUGAUAUAGCUGUAACCUAAUACAAAAACUCAUAUUAACAUAUUAAAUCAGCACACAUUUACUAAGCACUGCAUUUUAUGUUUGGAAGAUCAGGGAAGGAGAUAUAAAAAUAACUGACAUGGCUUAUAGUCAUAAUCUUGUGGAGAAAACAAGUGUGUACAUAAUUAUAAAUCAGUCUUAGAAAUGUAGUGGAAGAGUUAUAAACAAAGUACUCUGGAGUUACAAAGAACAGAGAGAUAAAUUAUGCCUCAUGGGAUCUGAAAGAUUUCAAAAAAGGAACAUUUUAGGCAGAAGAAACAGCAUGAAUAAUGGCAUAGAGGUAUGAAAUAUGUGAUCUGUGGUAGGCAGGAAUGGAAGUAAUCUGGGGUAGUCAAGAGUGGGUUGCAAAUGAAGAAAAGUAAUAUAAAGGGGAGUAGGAAAGAUAGGUUGAGGCCAGAAUGUGAAGGUUCUUGAUAAGCAUGUGAACUUUAAUCUGCUGGGAAUGGGAAGUCAAAUUCUGCCUUACUGAUUUUCUUUUAGUUCCUCCAACUUCUCAGGAUCUUUCCUACUUUAGGUUCUUUCCCUUCCUGCAAACUCUUUCUGCUGUCUGAAAUACUCUCUUCAUCUGACUGCAACUUGUUACCUAGCUACCUUCUUUUCCUUCUGAUUUCAGUUUAAAAGUCACUCAGAAAGUUGAGUACUAAAAACAAAACAACAACAACAAAACAAAGAGUGCCCAAUUAAAAGAGAAAAAUAAGGAAGACAGCCUACUUUCUAUUCUUUCCUUCUAGGCCUCUGGGCCUGUGGUCGGACAGGCAGUCUGAAAGACUUCUGAAAUGCCUUCAAGCCUUUUUCUCAUUGUGUUGGCUAUUAGCACUUGGCUCUCUUUUAGCCAUGCUAACCUCUCUAGCAAGUUGCUGUACAGCCUGGUUGAAUUCCUCUCCUGAAAAUGCUUUUCUUCUCUACCACAUGGCCAGGCUGCACAUUUUCCAAACUUUUAGACUCCGCUUUCCUUUUUAAGUAUAAGUCCCAAUUUUUAAGUCAUUCCUUUGCUCCCACAUCUAUCUGAUCAUAGGCUGUUAGAAGCAGCCACAGCACAUCUUGGAUGUUUUGUUGCUUAAUGAUUUCUUCCACUAGAUACCCUAAGUCAUCACUCUUAAGUUCCAACUUCCACAGAUGCCUAGGACAUGGACACAAUGCAGCAGAGUUCUUUGCUAGGGCAUAGUAUGGAUGACCUUUACUACAGUUCCUGAUAACUUCCUUAAUUCCAUGUGAGACCUCAUCAGCCUGGCCUUCACUGUCUACAUUUCUGUCAGCAUUUUGGUCACAGCCACUUAAGGCUCUAAGAUGUUCCACGCUUUCCCUCACCUUCCUGUCUUCUUCUGAGACCUCCAAACACUUUCAGCCUCUGUCUGGUACCCAGCUCCAAAGCUGGGUAUCUUUAUAGCACUGCCCUACCCUUCAGUUUCAGUUUUCUGUUAGUCCAUUUCCAUUACUAUAAAGGAAUACCUGAGACUGGGUAAUUUAUAAAGAAAAGAGGUUUAAUUGGCCCAUGGUUUUGCAGGCUGUACAUGAAGCAUAGUACUGGCAUCUGCUUCUGGUGAUGGCUUGAGGAAGCUUACAAUCAUGGCAGAAGGCAAAGGGGAACCAGUGUGAGAGGAGGCAGGAGGCAAAGGGGAACCACAUGGUGAUAGGGGGAGGAGGUACCUCUUUCUUUCAUUUUUUUUAAUGUUUUAUUUUUUAAUUUAUCUUUUCGUUUUUAUUUUUCGAGACAAUGUCCUGGUUUGUCACCUAGGCUGUAUUGCAGUGGUGUGAUCACUGGUUACUGCAACCUUGACUUCCUAGGCUCAAGUGAUCUUCCCAUCUCAGCCUUCCAAGUAGCUGGGACUACAGGCGUGUACCACCAUACCCUGCUAAUUUUUUAUAUUUUGUAGAGACAGGGUCUCUCUAUGUUGCCCAGGCUGGUCUCGAUCUCCUGGGCGCAAGCAGUCCUCCUGCCUCAGCCUCCCAAAGUGCUGGGAUUAUAGAUGUGAGCCACCAUGCCCAGCCACCAGGAUCUUUUAAACAACCAAAUCUCACAUGAACUCACAGAGUGAGAACUCACUCAUUACUGUGAGCACAGCUCCAAGUCAUUCAUGAGGCUUCCACUCCCAUGACCCAAAUACUUCCCACUAGGCCCCACCUCACUGAGGAUUACAUUUCAACAUGAGAUUUGGAGGGAAUGAGCAUCCAAAAAAAUCACUCCGUAUUUGAGUGAAUCGUUUAUUGGUGAAGGUCUGGUGUAUGGAAGUGGCAUCAUUUGAUGUAUAUUUUAGGAAGAAAAUUUCUGUGGAGGGUAGGUAGAUUAGAGGUGAGAUAUUUAAUAGAAGACUGUUGUCAAAGAAAUAGACUAUGGUAGUUGGAAUGGAAAUGGAAAGGAUGGUCAGAUAGAAAUAGAAUCAGCAGUUUUCUGGGGCCUACCUAAUAAAUCCAGGGUGGUUAUUUACAUUGGGAAAGCAUUUAUAAUUUUUUAGAAUAAUUUAUAAAAAUACUUUAAAAAUAGCAGCUUUCAUCCAGUUUUUAAUUUCUGUUAUAUUAAUAGAAUGAUGAGAGAUGGGGUGAGAAAGGAGAUAUGACAAAGCUGAAAUAGAAUAAUUGUCCAGUCAAUUGGUGGGAAGUUCUCAGCCCACAGUAAAGAAGAGCUAACAGGCAUAGUGUUUUCAUCUUUGUAAAAUGGCACAGGAGUUCUGUUUCCAACAAUGUGAGUUAAUUAGGAGCUCCAAGUGACCCACCUGCAUGAAAUAACUAAAGUCUGGGAAAGAUAAACUAUGUGAGACAUUGCUGGUCCCAGCUGGAGAUGGAGAGAUCUCCAGGAACUCUUCUCUUUCAAAACACAAACCAGCCCACCCUGAGUUAGGCCAGAGUGACAAGGCAGGCAGUUGGGAUGAGAGGGUUGUCUGAGGUCAAUUGCUGGUAGCAGCAGUGUUAUCUGGAUACUGAAUCUUGGGUAGCCUCUGCUAAGACUAGACCCUCAAGGGCCUGAAGCCUAAGGUAGUAGUGGCCAUGGCUGCUGACAAAAGUAGCAGAGCCUCUUUGCUGGAAAGCUUCCCCAUUCUCAAUUUAACCCUGUAAGACUCUUGCUCAUUAAAAUCUAGUAAUGGCCUCAUAGUCUGUGGUUACUAAAUAAAAUAGCACUAGGACUUAUU